rnacentral:rRNA from 1 species
UACGGAGGGUGCAAGCGUUGUUCGGAAUUACUGGGCGUAAAGGGCGCGUAGGCGGCCUGAUAAGUCAGAUGUGAAAGUCCACGGCUCAACCGUGGAAGUGCAUUUGAAACUGUCAGGCUUGAGUAUCGGAGGGGAGUGUGGAAUUCCCGGUGUAGAGGUGAAAUUCGUAGAGAUCGGGAGGAACACCGGUGGCGAAGGCGACACUCUGGACGAAUACUGACGCUGAGGCGCGAAAGCGUGGGGAGCAAACAGGAUUAGAUACCCCCGUA